rnacentral:snRNA from 1 species
AUACCAUCAUUUGGUGAUGUAUGUGUAUAUAUACAUGAGAAUUGGAAUGGUACAGAAAUUACCAUCCAUAGCCCCUGUCCAAGGAUGGUUUAUACUUUGUAAAUCAGUCCAUACAAUU